rnacentral:rRNA from 1 species
UACAGAGGUGGCAAGCGUUGUUCGGAAUUACUGGGCGUAAAGGGCUCGUAGGUGGCCAACUAAGUCAGACGUGAAAUCCCUCGGCUUAACCGGGGAACUGCGUCUGAUACUGGUUGGCUUGAGUUUGGGAGAGGGAUGCGGAAUUCCAGGUGUAGCGGUGAAAUGCGUAGAUAUCUGGAGGAACACCGGUGGCGAAGGCGGCAUCCUGGACCAACACUGACGCUGAGGAGCGAAAGCCAGGGGAGCAAACGGG